rnacentral:sRNA from 1 species
GCCGAGCGCGCGGAGCAGCUGGGGCCGGGGCGCGGAUGCUGGAAGUUCACAUCCCGUCGGUGGGGCCCGAGGCCGAGGGGCCCAGGCAGAGCCCGGAGAAAAGCCACAUGGUGUUCCGAGUGGAGGUGCUGUGCAGCGGGCGCAGACACACGGUGCCGAGGCGCUACAGCGAGUUCCACGCGCUGCACAAGCGGGUGAGGCGGCGCCGACCUCCCACCGGCCCCGGCCCAGCCUCUGUCCAGUCCCCGCCCAGGCCCUGUGAGGCGGGCGGGCGAGCUCCAGCCCCAGCCUCCGCCACCCCCAUUACUGCCUCAGUCCCUGCGCAGCCGGUCAGCCCCCGGGCCUCUGUGGGUGGGUUGGGGCCUUCCUCGCCCUCGGCCGGUCCACCACUCACCAGGGUCUGUCCCAGUAGAGCCCGAAGGCGGGGGCGCGGGAGGGCUUCUGGCUCGGGCGAAGAGGGCUUGAGGGCUCAGUCGGGAUGCUGUGAUCGCACGCGGUAAACCUCCAGUAGAUCAAGAAGCUGUACAAAGUGCCCGACUUCCCCUCGAAACGCCUGCCCAACUGGAGGACCAGAGGGUUGGAACAGCGCCGGCAGGGCUUGGAGGCUUACAUCCAGGGCAUCCUGUACCUGAACCAGGAGGUGCCCAAGGAGUUACUGGAAUUCCUGAGACUUCGGCACUUCCCCACAGACCCCAAGGCUAGCAACUGGGGCACCGUGAGGGAGUUCCUGCCUGGCGACAGCAGCUCCCAGCAGCACCAGCGGCCUGUCCUGAGCUUCCAUGUGGAUCCCUAUGUUUGCAACCCCUCCCCAGAGUCGCUGCCCAACGUGGUGGUGAAUGGUGUGCUCCAGGGCCUCUACAGCUUCAGCAUCAGCCCAGAUAAAGCCCAGCCAAAGGCGGCCUGUCACCCUGCUCCUCUGCCACCGAUGCCCUGAUCAGUCCAGAGGCCUUUGGCUGCCUCCUAAGAAAGUCAUGUGCCUCUGUCCUAUGAACUCCAUAUAAGGCUGGGUCCUCCUUUGGCCUGGAACCAGGACUUAAUUACCCAGUGCCCAGUUGUGCCACAUUCCCACUCAAGGCUCAGAACUUGGCUCGCAUUGGUAGCUGGAGGUGGUAGAAUCUGCAUGCUCUUAGAGCCCAACAGCCAAGGCAGGGUCAAGAAGAUAAGUAAUAAAAGAGGAAGUCAGCCAGG